rnacentral:lncRNA from 1 species
UAUUUUAUCACAAGGCUUUUGGUUUUCCAACUUCAUAUCUUCAUAGAUCAAAACCCACAACCAUCUCGACUACCACACUGACCUCAAGACCUUCCUCCUUCACUCACCCUCCUCCCUCGUUCCUCACACCGGCGAUCACACCACCCAGACUUCAUCUCGUUCGACACACCUCUCUAUCUUGCACUCUCUCUGAUUCGAUAACAACCCACCGGAGUCGAAGUGUACGCCAGAGUAAUCGUAAUCGAGACACCGUCGAAGUAACCAAGUUCGCCGGAGAAACCCGAAGACACGAGCACGUCGUCAGACUUUUCGCCGGAGAUCGGAGACACUGCCGGAGACGUCGUAGUUCACGAUGGAGUAUAGCUCGAUUCAUGUUCGGUUGAUGAUGAUGAUGCUAUGAAAAGAAGUAGCGUUGAUGCCUAGAUACACAUUUAGACGUUUAGGUUUAAUAUGUUGUAUCAAUUUUGCUUGUGUUGUCAUGUACUUCUUUGAAACUUGUUGUAUUUGAAUUUCUUGUAAUGUUGACAAUUUACUUUAUGAAAUGAAAUCGGAUUAUUAAAAU